rnacentral:rRNA from 1 species
CUACGUGCCAGCAGCCGCGGUAAUACGGAAGGUCCGGGCGUUAUCCGGAUUUAUUGGGUUUAAAGGGAGCGUAGGCCGGAGAUUAAGUGUGUUGUGAAAUGUAGACGCUCAACGUCUGACUUGCAGCGCAUACUGGUUUCCUUGAGUACGCACAACGUUGGCGGAAUUCGUCGUGUAGCGGUGAAAUGCUUAGAUAUGACGAAGAACUCCGAUUGCGAAGGCAGCUUGCGGGAGCACAACUGACGCUUAAGCUCGAAGGUGCGGGUAUCAAACAGGAUUAGAUACCCUGGUAGUCCGCACAGUAAACGAUGGAUGCCCGCUGUUGGUACCUGGUAUCAGCGGCUAAGCGAAAGCAUUAAGCAUCCUACCUGGGGAGUACGCCGGCAACGGUGAAACUCAAAGGAAUUGACGGGGGCCCGCACAAGCGGAGGAACAUGUGGUUUAAUUCGAUGAUACGCGAGGAACCUUACCCGGGCUUGAAUUGCAGAGGAAGGAUUUAGAGAUA